ensembl:lncRNA
UAUGGUCAUAUCAGUCAGUGCCUGAACUUAUGCUCUAAUACGCAGGCCUUUGCCGUCUCUCUAUGAGCUUCUCGCUCACAACCAAUCACGUUCUUCUGGAGGUCACUAGUUCUUAAUUGAUUUCAGCUGCGUCUCCCCCGCCUCUCCUCAUAAAGCGCCCCCACCGUGACGGUUGUUAAUCGUUUUUUUUUUGCGUUGGAUUGCGUGGGCUGAACAAUCCGGACAUCGUGGCCACCGACGUGGACCCCCCGCCACCGGGACCCACGCAGUGAGUAACGCGGGGUACUUCCUUCAUGAGCGCUGCACAUGUUACACUCUCCCCAUCUCCUCCUGUCCUCUGUUCUCGCCCCUCUAUUGUACAUGUUUUACCGCUGGAGGUUAAUGUGGUUUUGCUGAUGGAAGUGGUAGUUUGUGUUGAGUGGUUUGGUUUAUCUAUGGGAUCGACUGACUAACUAACGCUGCGGACCGCUACAGCACCGACCACCACACUGGGAAGUGUCCUCUGCUCACUGUGGAAGCAGCAUGGAAGAACUGCAGCAACUCUGUUGGAAACGAGGACCUCCACGCUGUUGAACACAAACUGUUCUAGGCCUACUACAAACCGAGGCGGUCCCACUCGGUUAAAGAUCUCGUGGUCAAUGCGGCAGACCGCUGGACCUGGACGUCACCUUCUGCAGAUACUUCACUGCCCUCAGGAAUCCACGGAUAACUUGAAAAAAGUCCGACUCCACAUGUCCGAAGAAUCCAGGAUGGAAACUUGUGGAAGGAAGAAAGGGGUCUGUUUUUGCUCAACCCAUAACCCCACUGAGCCCUUCUGUGGAAACCUGCCUGACUGACCCUACUGACUGGGGGCCUGUUGUGUGUUUGGUUGGUCUGGUAGAAGGUUUGCUGCUUGUGAUCUGCAAGGUGGUCCUUGGUUAGAUGCGGUGUCUGACUUGCACACCACUCUCCCAAUUCUAUUCUUCUCUUUACUACUUUCAAUACACUUGCUGCUGCUGCUGUUGACCGCUGGUGGUGCAAUGUGGUUUUUAUUCGCGUAUGUUCUGUGGACUUUGCAUUUGUAUUUUAAUGAACAUGUUUACUGCCUGUUAGACCUCUGAUUGGCAUACCUAAACUCCUUCACUGGCAAAAUGUAGAUGCAAAUUAAAUGCCAAAAUUAACAUUUCAAUAUUCGGUUUGCGUAUUUCACCAAUAGCUUCGGAACUAAAUGGACCUCGUAUAUAAUUUGCUCUUCAAAGAUGCGGUCAGGCGCCCCUCCGUUACGUUUUCUGCCCGGUACGAAAUAGACCGACCAAUAGCAUAGCAUCGACCCAUUUUAGAUCGCGCCCUUUAGACACGCCCCUUGGAAAUUGAACAACGCAGAGGAUCCAGAAGGAUUUCACAACGAGUCCAUUGGAAGAUAUCGAGGAACAUGAACAUCACCAAUGAAGGAGAGUAACGUUUCCACUUGCUAUAGGAAUUUAGUGAAGCACUAAAUAGUUAAUAAUAAUAAUGAUAAAAUGUGGUCACCAUUUAUUGACUUUUUGGGUAAGACUUGCUUAACCAUUCAUUUACUUUUCUUGUGUAGUUUCCCACUAUUCAUUAAAUGUUUUAUAGAAGUAAAAAUAGUAAUCAAUAGAACAUACACAUUUGUACAACAAUUAAUCAUUAUACAGGAUUUGAACAUUUUCUAUUCGAGCUCAUGCUUCAUAAUAUUUCCAAGGAUUGCAGAGUACCAAAUGAUUUAUGAACAGUUUUUUGUUCAGGAGCGGAUUGUACUCCCAGAGGCUUCAACAGAGCGGGUCUGGAGCUGGGAGCUGCAGGUGGAUGGUGGCCAGGAGCCGUUCAGUCCUACAGACACAGACGGUAGAGGUGAUGGAGGCGGUCGUCUGGAGGGGCUCGUCUGGAGGUCCGUGGCAGUCGUCUGGAGGUGCUCGUCUGGAGGUCCGUGGCGGUCGUCUGGAGGCGCCUGCUGCAGGUGGAGGGAAGGCCGGGAGCCGUGCAGCCCAACGGAUGCAGAACGAAGGACUGAGGCGGAGGUCCUGGAGGCAGAGGCCAGCCUGGAGGUCCUGGAGGCGUCCAACCUGGAAGGGGCGGCAUGGAGGGCCAGGUGGCGGCUCCUCAUCCAAAGGGCCUGGAGGCGGCCAACCUGGAAGGCCUGGAGACGGCCGAGAUCCUGGAGGCAACGGCGGGCCUGGAGGUGGAGGCCAACCUGGUGGUCCUGGAGUCGGUGGGCCUGGAGGCGGUGGUGGGGACCAACCUGGAGGGCCUGGAGGCGGUGGUUGGGACCAACCUGGAGGCGGUGGUUGGGACCAACCUGGAGGGCCUGGAGGCGGUGGUUGGGACCAACCUGGAGGUCCCGGCGGUGGCGUCCACCUGGCGGCGGUCAGCCUGGAGGGCCCAGCGGCGGCGUCCUGGAGGGCCCGGAGGAGGCGGCUCCUCAUCCAGUAAAGCUAAGCUCUUCUCCAGUGCAUCAUGAACGGGGAGGAAUGUCCGGGGUGCAAAUAGAACGUGUGUCACAUUUCAGAAGAAAUGAGGCGACGUUGCGGAGGUCCAGGCGGUUGGCCCGGUGGAGGUCCUGGAGGAGACGGUCCCGGCGGUGGAGGACGGCUGGGGGAUCCGGCGGUGGAGGUCCGAAGGCGGCUCGUGAUUAGACCAACCAGCUCCUCAUCCAUGGAAGCAGGAUUGAAGGAGUCACUUGGGAUGAAGAUCACUGCUCGGGGGCUGACGACCACUCAUCUUUCCGGAGAAGCGUCCUCAUGGUGCAGGCGGUCAAACCUCCACCUCUUUGAAGAGACCAAGCAGCUUGAUGACUGACUGGUUCUUUAUACUCAAGACCUCGUCCCGGAGCAGAGGACGGACCUAAGGCCCGCAGCGCAGCCGACUAGAGACUCCAUGUGGAACCUGUAAGAUACUGGAUUGACCAUCUUGAAGACAUUUUCAUUUAUUCAACAAGGUUCAAUUAAGUUGACCUCUCCUUCAGGCGACUUAAAGGGAGACCAGAUGUGCAGCAGCUGGGUGUCAUGGUGCAGAGACCCAACGCUGUACUGAACUACACCAGUGUGGCCUACUCCCAUAAACCCUGAGGAUCCCUGGAUGGCUACACCAGUGUGUCCUACUCCCAUAAACCCUGAGGAUCCCUGGAUGGCUACACCAGCACAUUAAUCCACACCCAACAUCAACACAGUGCACACUCUAUAGAGCUCGUAAGUCCGCCCCUUGCGGCGGGACCUUGUGAGAUCGUAAGAUAUGACUGGGUUUCAAUGGAGAGAAAGUAAUUUUUUCUCCAUUUUAUGUUGCACCACAUUUUGGGGGAAGAAUGUUUGAAUCAAUCUUUGUCAUUUAUUUCUGUACUCCAUAUCUGUAAUCCCAGCUGUUGUAUUUUAACACGGUAGCUGGGAACCCUCUUUAUAGGGAGCGACUAGAGGGACGAGGCUGGAAGCAAACCUGAGCCUGGAUCUUAACCUUCUUUCUAAACCUAAUGCCGCAAUUUAACCGCAAAUAAAGUGAGGCCUAAAGUAACUUGACUCUCUUACCUAAACUUGCUUGCCUAAACUCGCUUGUCUUAACUCACUUGCAUAACACCUAAACUCGCUUGCAUAAAACCUGAACUUGCUUGGCUAAACUCGCGUCGCUUGCCUAAUACCUGAACUUGCUUGCCUAAUACCUGAACUCGCUUGCCUAAACUCGCUUGCCUAAACUCGCUUGCCUAAACUCGCUUGCCUAAACUCGCUUGCCUAAACUCGCUUGCCUAAACUCGCUUGCCUAAACUCGCUUGCCUAAACUCGCUUGCCUAAACUCGCUUGCCUAAACUCGCUUGCCUAAUACCUGAACUCGCUUGCAUAAAACCUCAACUCGCUUAGCUUGACUCGCUUGCCUAAACUCGCUUGCAUAAAACCUAAACUCGCUUGCCUGUACUCGCUUGCCUAAUACCUGAAGUCGCUUGCCUAAAACCUAAACUUGCUUUUCCAAACACGUUACACAAAGUUAACCAUCCAUAAUCUUUAACCCAAACCAGACUUGUCCCUGGGUCGCUCCACUUUAAUUUAGAAGUUUCUUCUUUUACCUUAUCUGUGUUUUGAGUUUCAUUCUUUGAGGGCUUGAAGUGCUUUGGAGGAUAUUUGAACCUUUGUUUGCCGCAUCAAUAAACAUGCUUUAUCUUUACCCAUUUUGGAUUGCAUUUCUAUGUGUAAUCCGGCCAAAUGUUCAGUGUCCUUACAUGUAAUGUCUAUGGUCUGACGAUAAUCUGACCUCUUCAUGAAGCAGAAUGUGUGUGAAUGUUGUCCCGUGAGCGUCCAGGCUCUCUGUGGGCCUGUCAACGUCUCUUUAGCAAAAGGUUGGAGAGUGAAAUUCAUUUUUGUGCCAUUUUCAUGUGUUCCUGAGUAUUUCAGACCUGUGGUGUUUCACAUGAGACCUUAAUGGGAACUUUUCUUUUUCGGCCUGUAUACGUAAUGCCUACAUUAGUAGGGUGAUCACUGUUGAUCCCAAUAUUGAUCAUUAACCACCUUCUUUGGGAUUACAAAUCAUGUAAUUUAUGAGCAUAUUUGCAAAUGCCUCUAAAUAUCAGAUUGUGUAAAAAAAAAACAAAUGAAAUGUAACCUGCUUGAUUUAAAGAAAAUAAAACAUCCAAAUAUUAUAAACCUGUUUUGUGUUGCUCUCUUACCAUGUGGAAAUUAGCAGAUGGAUAUGUUUAGCUCUGAUUUGCUGCCUCCUUUUGGUGUGGUGCUGGGAUUUGUUUAAUAUACUAUUAUUUCCAGGAUAAGUUAAUAACCUAGUAUAGCCUACCCGGAA